rnacentral:lncRNA from 10 species
GUUUGAUUGGUAUUCUUUGAGAAACACUUUUAUUAUCUGAGAUUAUGACCUUUCCUCAUUUUUAAACUUAAAAUGCCUUUUGUUCACAAAAUGAGGGUGAUGAUAGAUGGUAUUUCUUGUUUUUGAUGGGCCAACUUGGCAACAUUGACACUUGGCAGUUUUCUGACAAUUCUCUGCAUUUUAUAAAAAAUUUACUGGUUGUUGAAUUCCCAAAGUUGGGAAACUAGGGUGUUCAGGUCUUCAGGAACAGGGGUGGCUAGGAAAGCUUGGAAGGGAAAAGGAAGAUCUUGCAGACACUAUAAAUAAGGCAGACAAGGACACUGAAUGCCAGAGGAAGGGAGGAGCAGACAGGUACUAGACAGGAAAUGGGUUAAGUCAGAGGAAGUGAGAUUAAGCAGCAAGGAAUGGGCCUUGCAAAAUCGAUAGAAAGGAAUGUGAAAAAGAAGUGACCUCAGAGGCAGGGUUGCAGCACAGGUUCCUGCUGAGAGGACAGCAGAGCUCUUCCCUGGUGCAGUGGUAGUCUUGGAACUGGAAUAAAUGCCAGAGUUAUUUCAUACCACAACACCCAAAACCCAUAUCAACUGCCAUCAUCAAACAGAGAAAAAGACCCUAAGAAACUUGGUGAGUGAUAACACAACAGAACAGAAAACAAAUUUCCUGAACACAGAAAAUGAAGUCUCCCUGAAGGAAGGCAAAAGACAAAAAAAAAGAGACUAAAAUGAGGCCAGAACGGACUGAAUGUCACAGCCUUUAUAACCCACACUGUGGCUGCAAGAAGAGACUCAAAGGAAAGACGAUGCUCCCUGCCAUUCCUCAGUCGCUGAAGUGUGUGGUCAGUCGUCAUUCGUUGAGCCCUUCCUCGUGUAAGACAUGCUGCUGAACCACUAAGAUAUGCUCUCAUUUAAUCCUCAUGCUAACCUAAGAGACAGCUAAUAGUAUCUAUACCUCAUCUCCACUUUUUUUUUGUCUUACAGAAGAUACUGAGAGUCUGAGAGGUUAAAUUACUUCAAAAUCAAACAAAAAAAAGAUUGUAAAACUGGGAUUUAACCCUCAAAGCGUGAAGUCCGAAGUUCAAGCUUUUACCCCAGGGCCUUAAGACACAGGAACUAGCAUCAGAAGUGCCUCAAAAACAUGAUGCUAUUUGGUUCCUAGGCGCUGUAACUCAGCCCAGAUCAGCGGCCUCUGUGCUGGAGCAGAAAUGGAACAAAAAUUCCUGGGACUUUAGUGCUUCCUGCAGCCAGCCUCAGGCUUCUUCUCCAGAUUCUGAGAUGCAAAAAUCCUACUUCUGCUCCAAAAGGAGAAAAUGUGACUUGCAAGGAGAAUGAAAGUCUCAAAGAGGUAAAGAUGUAAAUCUCUGACUAGUUUCUGCCUCUCCCCAUCCUCCUCACUCACUUCCUACUACUUCCCAGUAUCAAAGAGCAUGUAAGAAAGGACAGCAUUUGGACGGGCAGGGCUCUUCAGCCCCUGCUUUGCUCUUUUCUAGGUACCUCUUCUUCUUCCUUGAAAGCCAUUGUCCCUUUAAUCAAUGUGACACAGCCCUUUGAAAACAGCCUCCUUGCUCUUGGAAGUUGGCAGGGGAAAAAAGGCAGGAAUUCAUUUGCAGGUGAGUUAAUUAUUGUAUCCUGUAAGGAUGGCUACACUCCGGUGCUGACUGUGGCAUUUGCUGUUUAUUAAGUAUGAUAGUUUACAAUGACGCUAAUUGGAAUGAAGCAACUUAAAAAGCAUGUCUCAAAACAGAAGGAUUUUAUCCCAGAUAGAUAAGAUAGUUAAUUCCCCUUCCCCUUAUUACUUUCCCCCUGUGUCUAUGAACACACUGACUAACUUUUCCCUAUGGCUUGGCACAAUUCAUGAGCAGAGGAGGUGAUGUGGAAGGAUAAAAACAUUACUCAGGCACACACUACGAAAGUUUCUAGCAGUUGGCAAGACUCAGUCUGACCUUUAUGUUGAAUUUUGCCAUAGUUUUAAUCACUUUACCAUCACUUGCAGGAGAGAAAGCAUCGUUAAAAAUGCCCUAUUUAGGGAAAGCUUCAGAGCCAAGACUAGGUGUAUGUUCUCAUUAUUUCACAUGUUGUCAGAGUAACCAGUACAGUGAAAAGACAGCCUUUUGAAGAAAACAAGUUUGUGGAAAGUGCUUAAUUAAGGUAGGAGGACAUUUUAUUGAAAUUAUUUAUAUUUGCUAUUAAUAUUUUUGACAUUUUAUGUUUAUGCAGCAAUAAAUAAAAUACAUGUGAAUUUAUUGCAUCCAAAACUUUACUUCUAAUUUCCUACAACUGUAUGCCAAAGCCCUUGUAAAUUCUAUGUCUUUUGCAAGAAGUUUUGGACUAUCUACUGUAUUCUUUAUGUUUCUGUGUAGUUGACUGAUUUUUUAACUAUAACUGGG